rnacentral:lncRNA from 1 species
AAAGAGCAUCAUCAGAGUUUCAGAAUUCGACGAUCGGGCGGGCCACUUGGGCCAGUCGCCCUAUUUUCCUUGAAAAAGGGAAGCAGAAGGCGGAGAGCCCUCCGUCCGAUCAUGAUUCCACCCUGGAGGGUCCCUACCUCUGUUUUUUCAGAAGACCCUCGAGACUCGCAGUCGAAAGGACCUCCUGGAUCAAAGAUUUUAGGAGAUGAAUCGAU